AUGGAGAAACAGAAACUGUUUUCUCCCCCUGCCCACCAUUCUUACUGUUUCACAUACCAGUCUGGGAAAAGUCUCAAGAGGAUUUUAGGUGUAUUUUCGGGGAUCCCAGGUGGGAUUUGAGGGGAUCUGGGUGGGGUUUGUGGGGUGUGGUGGGGGCCCAGGUGAGUUUAGGGGUAAAUUGGUGGAAUUUGGGGGGGUCCAAGGUGGGAGUUGAGGGGGAAUUGCAGGGAUUUUGGGGUGUCCCAGGUGGGAUUUGGGGGUUCUGGUUGGGCUUAGAGGGAGACAUGAGGGAUUUGGAAUCGUCCCUGUGGGGUUUUGGGGUGUCCCAGGUGGGUUUGGAGGAUCUCAGGUGGGGGAUCUGGGAGGCCUGCAUGGAUCUUGGGGUGAAUUUGGGGCGUUUUGGGACGUCCCAGGUGGGAUUUGAGAGGUCCACAUGGAUUUUGGCUGAAUUUAGAACAUUUUGGGGAGUCUCAGGUGAAUUUUGAGAAGCCUUUAGUAGAGUUUCGGCAAAUGACUUGAACUAACUUGACUCUAACACUGCCCGACUUAUGAAUCUGCCCAGCCUUCUGUAGUGU
rnacentral:lncRNA from 12 species